rnacentral:rRNA from 1 species
AGAGUUUGAUCAUGGCUCAGGAUGAACGCUAGCUACAGGCUUAACACAUGCAAGUCGAGGGGCAGCAUGGUCUUAGCUUGCUAAGGCCGAUGGCGACCGGCGCACGGGUGAGUAACACGUAUCCAACCUGCCGUCUACUCUUGGACAGCCUUGUGAAAGGAAGAUUAAUACAAGAUGGCAUCAUGAGUCCGCAUGUUCACAUGAUUAAAGGUAUUCCGGUAGACGAUGGGGAUGCGUUCCAUUAGAUAGUAGGCGGGGUAACGGCCCACAUAGUCUUCGAUGGGUAGGGGUUCUGAGAGGAAGGUCCCCCACAUUGGAAGUGAGACACGGUCCAAACUCCUACGGGAGGCAGCAGUGAGGAAUAUUGGUCAAUGGGCGAGAGCCUGAACCAGCCAAGUAGCGUGAAGGAUGACUGCCCUAUGGGUUGUAAACUUCUUUUAUAAAGGAAUAAAGUCGGGUAUGGAUACCCGUUUGCAUGUACUUUAUGAAUAAGGAUCGGCUAACUCCGUGCCAGCAGCCGCGGUAAUACGGAGGAUCCGAGCGUUAUCCGGAUUUAUUGGGUUUAAAGGGAGCGUAGAUGGAUGUUUAAGUCAGUUGUGAAAGUUUGCGGCUCAACCGUAAAAUUGCAGUUGAUACUGGAUAUCUUGAGUGCAGUUGAGGCAGGCGGAAUUCGUGGUGUAGCGGUGAAAUGCUUAGAUAUCACGAAGAACUCCGAUUGCGAAGGCAGCCUGCUAAGCUGCAACUGACAUUGAGGCUCGAAAGUGUGGGUAUCAAACAGGAUUAGAUACCCUGGUAGUCCACACGGUAAACGAUGAAUACUCGCUGUUUGCGAUAUACAGCAAGCGGCCAAGCGAAAGCGUUAAGUAUUCCACCUGGGGAGUACGCCGGCAACGGUGAAACUCAAAGGAAUUGACGGGGGCCCGCACAAGCGGAGGAACAUGUGGUUUAAUUCGAUGAUACGCGAGGAACCUUACCCGGGCUUAAAUUGCAGAUGAAUUACGGUGAAAGCCGUAAGCCGCAAGGCAUCUGUGAAGGUGCUGCAUGGUUGUCGUCAGCUCGUGCCGUGAGGUGUCGGCUUAAGUGCCAUAACGAGCGCAACCCUUGUUGUCAGUUACUAACAGGUUCCGCUGAGGACUCUGACAAGACUGCCAUCGUAAGAUGUGAGGAAGGUGGGGAUGACGUCAAAUCAGCACGGCCCUUACGUCCGGGGCUACACACGUGUUACAAUGGGGGGUACAGAGGGCCGCUACCACGCGAGUGGAUGCCAAUCCCAAAAACCUCUCUCAGUUCGGAUCGAAGUCUGCAACCCGACUUCGUGAAGCUGGAUUCGCUAGUAAUCGCGCAUCAGCCAUGGCGCGGUGAAUACGUUCCCGGGCCUUGCACACACCGCCCGU